rnacentral:rRNA from 1 species
GACGAACGCUGGCGGCGUGCUUAACACAUGCAAGUCGAACGGCAAGGCCCUGCUUUUGUGGGGUGCUCGAGUGGCGAACGGGUGAGUAACACGUGAGUAACCUGCCCUUGACUUUGGGAUAACUUCAGGAAACUGGGGCUAAUACCGGAUAGGAGCUCCUGCUGCAUGGUGGGGGUUGGAAAGUUUCGGCGGUUGGGGAUGGACUCGCGGCUUAUCAGCUUGUUGGUGGGGUAGUGGCUUACCAAGGCUUUGACGGGUAGCCGGCCUGAGAGGGUGACCGGCCACAUUGGGACUGAGAUACGGCCCAGACUCCUACGGGAGGCAGCAGUGGGGAAUAUUGCACAAUGGGCGGAAGCCUGAUGCAGCAACGCCGCGGGCGGGAUGACGGCCUGCGGGUUGUAAACCGCUGUCGCCUGUGACGAAGCGUGAGUGACGGUAAUGGGUAAAGAAGCACCGGCUAACUACGUG